AUAAAAUAAAAAUGUGGAAAGGGCGAUCCAUGCUUACUGUAUCUUCAUUAUCAAGGAAGGAACUGAGCAGAGGUUAUUCUUUCACACUCUUGAAAUCCUCAGGUGAGGAAGCAGCCCGCAAACAUGGAGAUUUCAAGCAACAGUCACCGUUCCACCCCAGGGAGGCUCCAACUUAACUGUGCGGGUCCCCGCGCCGGGCGGCCUCUCGGCGGGCUGCGCCCCGGUGUCGGGCGGCGGGAGGAGGGGGGGGCCUCGGCCCGCAGGACUCCGCCGCCGCCGCCGCGGCCUGGCAUUCGGGUCCGCCAGGGCCAGGCCUGCACCAAUCACAGGCAGGGCCGGGCGGCGGGGCGCGAGCGCGCGCGGCCUGCUCCCCUCCCCCGCCGCCCGCUCGCCGCCGGCCUCGCCGCGGCCGCCGCACGUCACUGCGCGCCGCAGCAGGCCCCGCGCGCCGAGCAGGCGCACCCGCCGCGCCGAGGCCGCUGCCCUCGCUCUGCCCGCGCCGCCGAGCGCGCCUGUGCGCGGCGGGGGGAGCGGGGAGGGGGCCCGGGCGGGCCGAGCGCCAGGCUGGGGCCGGGGGAGCCGCCUCGGAGCUGGUCCCGCGCCGCCCGCUCUCCUUCCGCCCUCACGGCCGGCCGGCGCGGGGCUCGGACCCGGCACUGCGGGACGGGACGGCGGCUCCGCGCCCCGGGGUCACGGCCGGGCACUGCCACACCGCAGUUCGGGGUAAAAAGUACAACUUCUUGUCUCCCACAGACACAGAAGAAAGCAUCGCAUUGGGGCGUUUGUUCUCCCCUGAAACAAGGGAAGGCCAGCCUAAUUUCUAACUUAGUUGGCUGCCACUUCCAGCUCUGCAUAUACAUUUCAAAGAGGAUACAAAAGCACAGGUGGACGCAAAAAGUGUCAAACGGGCAUCAGAAAUCCCAGUGACCUGGUGCAGCACCCCUGUCCUCAUCCGCAACCAAUAAGGUACCUCAGCAAGGACCUCACCACAGGAUCAUACAGCACUGCAAUAUUAAAGCCAUGGGUGUGGGGGAUUUAAAAUACAUUGUUGCCCAUAUGACAGUCUCAAGAAUACAACUAACAUAAGAAAACCUUGCCUGCUAAUAAAUUGGAAGAAACUACAGGCACAGAUGUGAUGGUGAACAGCAUCACUUUUUUCAUUAUUUUCAGUGUAUCCACAUGAUUGCCAAUCUCCAUCCAAGCAGUACUCUUAGUAAAAUAGUGGCUAGUCCAGCAAUGAACAACAUAAAAAAAUUCUUCAAGAGAACUCAUCCCUAUGGAAGAUGCUCAUCCCUAAGGAAGUGUAGGCCAUAAGCAUUUAUCACAUCCAGCUGACCAUUAAACUGAUGAAAUCCACUUAUAGUUAACACUAUGUACAUACAUAAAAUACAUGCAAAACCCACACAGUCUGCCUCUUAAUGGAGUAUUAAAAAAUAAAUAAGAACUAAAAUCUCAGUCUUAGGUCUCUGAAACCUACAUUCUGUAACUAAAAUGUCCAUGUUUAACUAGAUUUAGAACCACUGGGAAACUUACUCUCCCCCUGUCCACAUAGUGGACUUUUGCCUCAAAUUAAGCAAUGUGGAUUCAAUUCCCAUCUAGGUAGCAUUUUUUUUGUCUUAACUGCAAGAUGUAGCAAAACAGUGUGUUACAGUAUCCGUAGGAUCUUGCUAGAAUAAAUAUAUCUUAGUCCCCACAUGACUAAAUUGUUCAACACCUGGAAAUGGCAUACACUUACAAUAUGCACAGAUUUUUAAAUCUAGGGGAGCCAAUCAUGUCUAUUCUCCGACUGACCCAGAUGGGCUGUACACCUGAAUUCUUCUAAGCUGCUUCUGCUCAAAGCUAAGGGUACGGUAGCGUAGACACACCUCUAAUUUAGAAACCAACCUGUUAAAUAGGUGCACAAAUUGUUUUCAACAUAUAUUUGCACUGAGUUGGUCAGCUUUCAAACACCAUUAAGGACAUAAUAAUCAACUGUUGGUUUUUUUAAUAUGUAACAGGAACAUAAGUAACUCAAAGAAAUGAAUCUUUGUUUUAUAAAGUUUUGCCUUUACAGUUACAUUUGACAUGAAUUUUGUUUAUGGACCGUGGGAUUCAGCUGCCUAUAAGUCUAAUGGGAUGUCCAAGAUGUUUGAAUGAGUGGAAAAAUAACUAAAAAGGUAAUCAUAAAACUGCAUACUUGGAAAAGUGAGAGAGAGAACAUCUUACAAGGUGAUACAAUAAAAAAAAAAAACAGAGACAAUUAUCCCUUUUCCUCAACAAAAUCCCAUCUGUGCUGGGUUCCCCCUUCUGAAAUAUCGAUGGAAAGCUCACAGCAAAAAGUAGCGACAAGCAACAACAAGGCUACCGCCAACAGUGUGACACAACAUACAGCAUCAGAACCAACACGCAUUAUCUGCAGAGUAAGGGAGCUAUUACAAAGAAAGUACUGGUCAGGAGCACAGAAUAAAAAAAAAAAAAGCAGCAAGAAAGCCGCCACCAUCACACCAAAGCAAAGCUAAGAUACCAGUGAUCACGGGUAUCCAAACAUCAAAAGUCACAGCACCAAAUCAGAAAGAAUAUACAAAAGCCAAAACACCACUCUGUACAUCAAUUCAGAAUGUUUAUACCUGACAGGGAAGUAGCACAUCAUAAUAACCAUAACUAGCAGAAGACCAGACUUGCCCUUUGCCCUUCAGCUAACAACACAAACAUUCCAAAGAACUGUGGAGCUUCUUGGCUCUUCAGGUAAGAGGCAGACAUCCAAAGCAUGAUGAUGUAAUCAGAAAGGUAUGUAGAAUUGUAAUGCUUACUUUAAAUGACACCACAGUAUCUCAAGCACUUCCUUCACUUUUUUUUUUCUUUUACAUACCACUGCCUGACGUUAACAUUGAUGAUUUGACCAUGAGCGAUUAAGCAAAACAGGAGCACUGCCUAUCCCUCUGAGUGAUGUCCUGCAACUCUUGAUUUGCCUGAAGAACAAAGAACGGAGAAGUCUGAACAGGAAAGCUUCAUUCUCUGUGAAAAUUUCAUUUUAAAUUUAAGCAGCGUGAGCACAUACCUCCAGAUAGCUCUUCUCUUGCCAGCACCAAGUAUAUCUGACAGGAUUGCCUCAUCUCUUUCUCCUUUUUCUUUGCAAAGGGAGAGGUGGAAUAGGAAACCAAGCACUCAAAUUCUACAGUUACCCACAGAUUGGUGAAUGGAGCCAGAGGUCAGUAGCAACCAGAGGUUUUUUUUUAGUUAUGGCACUACUGGAGGCUAAAAAUGAUGGAAAAAUUAUUUCAUGGACAAAAUUCUGAUACACUUGCACUUGCCUUUCUGGGGUCUUAGCUUAAACUCAUAGCCUAGGAUCUAACCACCACAGUUUCUGUUAUGAUUCAAAUGAUGACAGACAAAUAUUUGCACGUAUUUCUGAUAGAAACUGAAAAGGAACUGGAUGAUUAGUAGGAUACUUUCACUGAACGUGCCUAUAGAAAGGACAGUCAGUCACACAAGUAAAAGUAAUGUAAUUCUUCCAUGCUCCAUCCUCUGGUGAGACAAGAUGCUUCUUCAAGUUGAUUGUGUGGAUGUUAAAGUAUGAAUAUUUUAUAUUUGUGCUUUAAUCAGCAAGAAAAUUAUUAAUGCUGACAUGUAAAGGCAUUGUUCUCGGCUGUGCAGAGCCUCAGAGGACAUUAUAAUGCAGGUUUACAAGCAGACCAUGUUCAGAAAAUCUUUGAUUCUUUUUCAAUGAAUUCUGGUGAAUGCAUUUUCAGCUAUUCAUGAAAAAUUACUCCAUCAUUCAGUGAUUUAACAAUUUACAAAUCUGCCCUCAAUAUCUUCAAGGCCCAGACUGAAAUGCCUACUGGUUUCUUACAGUAGUAGAAGUAAAAUUGGUGAAACCUACCCACUUUAGAUUGUUACCAGAAAAC
rnacentral:lncRNA from 1 species